rnacentral:rRNA from 1 species
GACAGAGGGUGCAAACGUUGUUCGGAAUUACUGGGCGUAAAGCGUGUGUAGGCGGUCCGCUAAGUCGGGUGUGAAAGCCCUGGGCUCAACCCAGGAAGUGCACUCGAAACUGGCAGGCUAGAGUACUGGAGAGGUUGGUGGAAUUCUCGGUGUAGAGGUGAAAUUCGUAGAUAUCGAGAGGAACACCGGUGGCGAAGGCGGCCAACUGGACAGAUACUGACGCUGAGACACGAAAGCGUGGGGAGCAAACAGG